AUUGAACGCUGGCGGCAGGCCUAACACAUGCAAGUCGAACGCGUGGCGGACGGGUGAGUAAUGUCUGGGAAACUGCCCGAUGGAGGGGGAUACCUACUGGAAACGGUAGCUAAUACCGCAUACCAUCGGAUGUGCCCAGAUGGGAUUAGCUUUUAGGUGAGGUAACGGCGCACCUAGGCGACGAUCCCUAGCUGGUCUGAGAGGAUGACCAGCCACACUGGAACUGAGACACGGUCCAGACUCCUAAGGGGUGCAGCAGUGGGGAAUAUGGCGCAAUGGGCGAGUGCCUGAGUCAUCCAUGCCGGGUGUAUGAAGAAGGUCUUCGGGUUGUAAAGUACUUUCAGCGGGGAGGCGUUACCCGCAGAUGAAGCACCGGCUCACUCCGUGCCAGCAGCCGCGGUAAUUC
rnacentral:rRNA from 1 species